AAAGGCAGGGGGAAGAAAAGGUUGUGGUACCUAAAUGUGCCAAUAAUAAAAAAAACAUUUCCAUACCCCCAGUUUUAGUUUUGUUUACCCUCCCCUUUUUUCCAGUGAUUUCAGGGAAAACAAAUUUAUUAUCCAACUUGAAUAUUUUGUUUGUCACGACAGCCCGCGACAGCCAUUUUGCACAGCAACAAGUCAAUUUCACAAUCGCCAUUUUUCCCUCUGAGAAAUAGAAAAAUUAAAAAGAAGCUAGACUACUUUGUCACAAUAAUAACGUUACAUAACAUACACGAAUCUGCCUGUUUGCUAAAUUCAAAAAAAAAAAACGUACUUGAAGGACAACGCUGGUUGUUCUGCCUCGUCGACAAGCAAGGUCUUAUCGGUUUGAUUAUUGGAUGUACUACAGUUUUACCUUGACGACACCAUUUGAUAUACGAUCUUUGAUACUUUCCUUCCCACAAAUUCAUAAUAAUUAUUGGUGUGCUUCUGGAAAAGAAUCGACUAGCCAACAACUGUGACAACGAAACCGCCAUUGUCGACCAACUCUUUUUGUCGACUUUUUUCUUUCAUCGAGUGGCGGAUUGUUGAGAAAAAAAUCAAUGGAAAAGGAGGAGGUCCUGAAGAAUACGAAUACCAGGAACUGUGCAAAUGCCACUUUUUCUUGGUGAAAGAAGAUUAAAAGUUCAAUCUGAAA